AUGGCUGGCUCUCUGGGGAUGGAAUCGCGAGCAGGCAGCAUCCACUGGCAACUUUCUCCUCUAGGCUCCCGCUGGAAGGAAGGUCCCCCGGGGCCUGCCCCUUGCUCCCGGAGCCCGGGAGCCCUCCCUCUCGCCUUCUCUGUCCUGGGCUCCUCUCGCACCUCCCGGGCCCGGGGGCGGCUUGGGCUGGGCGAUCACCGAGCCAGGGGAGGAGGCGCCGGCGGCGGCAGGGGAGCCGAGGAACGGCCACCUCGCCGGGGUCCCAUGUGCCCGGGGCUCCGAGGGGGUGCCGGAGCCCGUCCGUCCCGCGCAGCAGCGUCCGCUUCUCUCUCCCGGGCUCAGGCCGCUACCGAUCUAUCUCCGGGCGGCGGAUUCUUGUAUCCCUUCCAAGGCGCCUGGGAAUCCCUCCUCCUCUUCCUUCUCUCGCCCCCACCCCCACCCCUUUUCGCGCCCGGCAACUUGGGAACCUUUCGCAAAGUUGGUGCUCCAGGCUGGGCGCUGCAGGAGCCGAGGCGGCCGGGGCACAGAAAGGAGGAGACCAGAGAAGGGAAGGAGUUGCCCAGACCCGUGGCCCCUCCGCCCAAAGCCUGCACUCCCCCUACUCUCGCUCCCUGCGCCCUAGCUCCACCCCCACCCCCGCCUCCGGGGAGCGAAGAACGAACAAGGACCCCUGUGUGCGCCUUUGUUCCCUGCGCGCCUCCCUGGCCGGCCGGCCCUGCACCCCCCUCUUUGGGCUGCCUCUCUGAAGCCUCUCCCUGUUCCUCCCCGCCCCUCAACUGCACAUCCUGCUCCUUCGAUGGGUAUUGGGGAUCCUCACGACCAAGGAAAAAGGGAGGGGGAGUCCCCCUGCUACUUCCCUCCUAUUUCUUUCUCCUCAGCCUCAUUCCCUUGGGUCCUUGCAGAAAUCCCCAGGGCUCUUUGAAAGUUUCAGUCUCCCCAGUCUGCAUCAUGUUCUCUUACCCACCCACCCCAGUUUCCCCACACAGAGGCCCGAGUCUCUGCUCAACUCUGUGA
rnacentral:lncRNA from 1 species